AAUUGCUGUAGUAUUUUGACUAUACAAAGGUAUUGAAAUAAGAUUUUAAUUGAAUGCUAAGAGAAUGGAAAUACAGGGAAAAACUUUUUUUUAAAUUAAAAAUUGAAAUUUUUUUAAUUUGUGCAGAAACAAUUAUUAAUAUUAAGGACAAGAAGACCCUAUGAAUUUAUUAAAUUUUAUUUAAUAUGUAAUUACUAUUAGAAAAAUUUUGGCUGGGGCGGCUAAAAAAUAUUUUAAACUUUUUAAAAAUAAAAUGAUCCAUUAUUAAUGAUUAUAUGUUAAAUACUCUAGGGAUAACAGCGUUAUAUUUUUUGAUAGAUCAUAUUGACAAAAAAGUUUGCGACCUCGAUGUUGGAUUAGGAUACUUUUUUAAUGCAGAUAUUAAAAAAAGAAGUUUGUUCAACUUUUAAUUUCCUACUUGAUCU
rnacentral:rRNA from 1 species